GUCUUGUUGUGUAUAGUCUUAGUUGUCUUUAAAGUACUUGCAAUUUCUUCCUUUUUCGUUUCUUUCUUUUUUUAUAAAUGUACGUUCUUGGGUCUGACGUUAUAUAGUACAUUGCUGAAAAGAUUAAACAUUGCAUGUGUAAGGAUCGAUGAUAUUGCGUUUUUGUCAUUAUUAAACAAUUUAAUUUCAUCUGUGUCAUAAUACUGGCAUAACUUACAUCAGGAGUCUUGUGGAGUCUCAGUUGUACGAUAUUGUUUUUCUUCUUUUUUUCUAUUAUUUUUUCCUUUUUUGUAAA